rnacentral:misc_RNA from 1 species
GAAAUGCGAUACUUGGUGUGAAUUGUAGAAUCCCGCGAACCAUCGAGUCUUUGAAUGCAAGUUGCGCCCGAAGCCAUUAGGUUAAGGGCACGUCUGCCUGGGCGUAUCAAGUUGCGUCGCUCGCGCCCCCACCCCCCCUCGAAAGGGAGAAGAAGGGCUGCGGGCGGAUGUUGGCCCCUAGCGUGUGCACGUGCGCAGUCGGCCCAAAAGCGAGUCCCCCGCGAUGGACAAUGCCUCGCAACGAGUGGUGCUUGACAAACCGUUGCGUUGCCUCGUGCGCGUCCGGGUCGUCUCGGGAGGCCUGUCGUGACCCUAUCGUGCCGCUGCCAAGGCGCUCCGAUCGCGACCCCAGGUCAGGCGGGAUUACCCGCUGAGUUUAA